rnacentral:rRNA from 1 species
GACGUAGGGCGCGAGCGUUGUCCGGAUUUAUUGGGCGUAAAGAGCUCGUAGGCGGCUUGUCGCGUCGACUGUGAAAACCCGAGGCUCAACUUCGGGCUUGCAGUCGAUACGGGCAGGCUAGAGUUCGGUAGGGGAGACUGGAAUUCCCGGUGUAGCGGUGAAAUGCGCAGAUAUCGGGAAGAACACCCGUGGCGAAGGCGGCUCUCUGGGACGGUACUGACGCUGAGACGCGAAAGCGUGGGGAGCGAACAGG